UUCCAGACUCCUACGGGAGGCAGCAGUGGGGGAUAUUGCACAAUGGGGGAAACCCUGAUGCAGCGACGCCGCGUGGGUGAAGAAGCGCAUCGGCGCGUAAAGACCUAUCAGCAGGGAAGAAAAUGACGGUACCAGAAGAAGAAGCCCCGGCUAACUACGUGCCAGCAGCCGCGGUAAUACGUAGGGGGCAAGCGUUAUACGGAUUUACUGGGGGUAAAGGGGGCGCAGACGGCGAUGCAAGCCAGGAGUGAAUGCCCGGGGCCCAACCCCGGGACUGCUCUUGGAACUGCGUGGCUAGAGUGCAGGAGGGGCAGGCGGAAUUCCUGGUGUAGCGGUGAAAUGCGUAGAUAUUAGGAGGAACACCAGUGGCGAAGGCUGCCUGCUGGACGAUGACUGACGUUGAGGCUCGAAAGCGUGGGGAGCAAACAGGAUUAGAUACCCGCGUAUA
rnacentral:rRNA from 1 species